GUCUACGGCCAUACCACCCUGAACGCACCCGAUCGCGUCCGAUCUCGGAAGCUAAGCAGGGUCGGGCCUGGUUAGGACUUGGAUGGGAGAUAUCAGGCAUAGGGC
rnacentral:rRNA from 1 species